GUCUACCAAAGGGGGCCAUGGCAAAAGUAACCUUGGAUGGAACUACCUGUAAGAGACUUGGGCAGAAGCUGCCAGGAUAACUCAUUCUAAUGAAAAGGAUAGCUGCCUUCAAUCCUUUCCUCCCUGAUGCAUAACACUCAGGCUCAUAAAAGACACAUUUCAUGGUCAGGUGACCUACCAAUCCUUACCCUCUUCUAACCCACUAUCUAAACACCUGCACACACACCUGUGUGUGAGACCUUGCUAACCUCCUGCACUCUCAAGGACUCAUGCACAGGGACAUUCCUCAGCCUGGUUAUCAGGCAAGCAGCCUCAAACGACCUCUCCCUUCCUGCCAAGCUCCCCGCUUGGCACCCCUAUAUCAGGUCCCUGUGUGUGUGUGUGUGUGGGGGGGGGGUUGCAGUUUGAUCAUCGGGGUGUGAGCUCGUGUGUGGGUGGUCGGCGGCGGCAGCGGCAGCCAGCCAGAAACACAACAGCAAAACACAAAAGCGGGAGCAAGCCGGUAAAAUGUCCCAGAGCUGCCAUCUGCCCCCUCCCCCCUCCCUUAAUCGUGCCAGCUGGUAGCCUCACAUGGUCUUAUAAACUACCGGUAGAGAGUGAUUCGCCUGUUUUCCUAGCUUUGUGUCUUUAACUUUCGCUUUCGUCGGCUGAGGGUGUAGGCCCGAGUCUACGUCCCGGCGUGUUGACGGGCAGCGUUUGUGCCCUCACUCACUCGGGUGAGGGGGUGAGUACCCUGCCCUGUCCUGUCCCGUCCUGUCCUGUUGUGUGUUUGUGUCCCCAAUCCCGCCCGCCGGGAGGGUUGCGAUCUGUUGUGGAUCUGUUGUGUUGGUUCUUGGACGAUCGGAUCGAGACGGCUGUCGGGCGACACCUAGCGGCGGCAGUAAGCUACAACACGCCUGGUCCCCGGGCGCUCGGUGACAAGGGCGGUGACUCGCCUGCAGUCAGCCGACCAGAGCGACGAGAAUCCAGGCACGCUGGCGGGUGUGUCCCGGAGGCGGUGCGACGUUUGUGAACGGUCUCUGUGCAGGAGGUUGUACCGGUAGAAUAAACGAGAAGGUGGUGGCUGUUCUGUGUGCUACCAUGGCCAGAUGGAGGUGUGGUGGCGGCUUGAGCUGGUCGACCAGAAGCCUUUUAAAAGUCCUUCACGUCCCGUAACUGUAACUAACCCUCGGUCCCCGGCGGUGGUCUCGGCGACCCGAGGCCGAGAGGAAGCGCUGUUCCCGGAUUCACUAGCGGGCCGGGACCCGGGAUUCUCUGGGUGCCUCGGAACAUUUUAUCUUGUGUGCGUGCGGUAGCCACCCUCGGUCGAUCCCCGGCGGUGGUCUCGGCGACCCGAGGCCGAGAGGAAGCGCUGUUCCCGGAUUCACUAGCGGGCCGGGGCCCGGGAUUCUCUGGGUGCCUCGGAACAUUUUAUCUUGUGUGCGUGCGGUAGCCACCCUCGGUCGGUCCCCGGCGGUGGUCUCGGCGACCCGAGGCCGAGAGGAAGCGCUGUUCCCGGAUUCACUAGCGGGCCGGGGCCCGGGAUUCUCUGGGUGCCUCGGAACUUUUCCUUCUGCGGAAGCCCUCGGUCCCCAGCGGUCGUCUCGGCGUCUCGAAGCCGAGAGGAGGCGCUGUUUCCGGCCUCACUGCCUGCUAGUUCCCGGUUCCUUGUAGGGUCAGACUUUGUUUUUCUUCGACGUGUCCUCCCAUCCCGGGCUCCUGCCCUCCGGGUCCUUGCCCGAGAGGAUGCCGGUGUGUGCCGAUCUUUUCUGCAUGUCUACCUCGCUCUUGGUCCUAUCACGGUUAUGAGGUCGACCAGUUGUUGCUUUGAUGUUCGGUUCUCUCGUUGAUUGGGACAAUAUUUGGGGCACUUCGCCGGUCCCGACUUCCAGAAUUUCCGUGUGGUCUGUGAAUUUAUCACCGCUACACUGUCAUCAUAUUCCAGUUUUGCAAUCUGCUCUCUUUGUACCUGCAGAUAGGUACUGACACGCUUGUCUUGUGAGUGGGUGACAUUAGUAAAGGACUGCUCUCGGGCUUUUUCUGGUUCCUCGAGUGCCACUGGGUUCCUCCGUCCGGUCCAGCCUCUUGCCCCUUGGGGCUUCUCGGUACAUGGAGAGACGCGGGGGGGACGGCCACAGUACUUUUACCGUAUGCUAUGCCUGUCUCCCUGCGAGUGGCCCUUUUGCGUGUCAGGCGUGCCCGCUUUGCAGUUGUCACCCGUGCCGUUUCUUUGGGAUGGUGGGAGCCGCGGUCUUUUGAGAGAAGGCCUCGUGUUUGUUCCUUCCUGACCAUGGGCGGUGUUUUUUUUUUUUUUUUUUUUUUUUUUUUUUUUUUUUUUUCCCCUUCUCUGGAGCUCCCGAGUUCUCACCAGGGGAAGCCGUCAGGGCUGUGCCUCCCGAGUGCACCUGCUUUUUUGUGCCCACAGUAUUAAAGCUUUUGCUUUUCUUGCUCCGAGGGCGUCGGUGCUUUGUUUUUUUCCGUGGUUUUUUUGAUGGCUUUUUUUUUUUUUCCCCCUAUAUGGUGGUGGUGUAUUGGCUCUCUCCCGUUUCUCGUUCACGCUCGCUCGCUCGCUUCUCCCGUCUUGCUCGCUCCAAGUUGGCCUUAAAAAAAGGCGGUCUCUCCGGUUUUCUCUGGAUCGAUGUGGUACUCUCAAGCUCUCUUCGGGCCGGAGCCUAAGCCGCGCCAGGCGAGGGACGGACAUUCAUGGCGAAUGGCGGCCGCUCUUCUCGUUCUGCCAGCGGGCCCCUCGCCUCUCCUCCCCACCGUUUGGUGGUGUGUGGAAGGCAGGGGUGCGGUUAUCCGGUCUGAACCCUGUCAAUCCCCGCACUUGUCGCUGUGGUUCGUGGGGUUCUUGCGACGUUGCCAGUCUGCCGUGCUGCAUGCCCUUCCCGACUGGCGUGUGCACGUGUCUCGCUCGCUAUCCUCGCGGUGCUCCUGGAGCGCUCCAGGCUUGACCUCGAAGGUGCCCGUUUCUGAGCGGCGGCGUCGCUUCCCGCUCCCUGGCGUGCUGCCUCCUGCGUGCUCGGUCUGGCCUCGGUGGCGUGUGUUGUCGUUCCCGGCUCUUUGUCGACGGGGGUCCGUGCCGCUCUGGUUUUGCGAGGUGUCGUUUGUGGGGGGUCGAGAAAGUGGUUUCAGGCGGGUAAGAGUUCUCUUGCGGCGUUUCCCCGGGACGUCCGCAUGUGUGUGUGGCAUCUCUUCCCGCUUUGGGUGAGCGCCCGCCACGUACUUGGGCCUUCUCCCGUAGGCUCGUGCGUCGGUUGGUGUCGAGCGUUCGCGGCCGGCCUUUUUUGUGCUUAAGUGUAUCUUAAGCCCGUUAAUUUGGCUCACCGCCGUUCGCCCGGAGGUGGGUUUGAGAGGCCUGGCUUGUCCGGGGGUGCCUUUUUCUUGGCCCCGGUACCCCUGUCCGCGAGUGCUCAAUGUGAACCCUGGUAAAGAGAAAAAAAGCCUUUACCGAUACCGCGGGGCCCCCCCUCAAACGCUCGCUCGUGGCUUGCCCGUUUAUACUCUGUGACGGGGUUUGAGUGUGCACGCUGUACCCCCGCACGCACGCACGCUGCCCUUGGCCACCGCGGCCGGGAGCUCGCCGGGUCGGGUCCGUCCCGCCCUCAGUGAGAAAAGUUGCCUUCUCUAGCGAUCCGAGGAAAGGGCGUGC
rnacentral:lncRNA from 1 species